rnacentral:tRNA from 1 species
UGGGGGAUAGUUCAACGGCAGAAUAGUGGUCUCUGGAUCCAUUGAUCCUGGUUCGAAUCCAGGUCCCCCAG